AUUGAACGCUGGCGGCAUGCCUUACACAUGCAAGUCGAACGGCAGCACGGGAGCAAUCCUGGUGGCGAGUGGCGAACGGGUGAGUAAUAUAUCGGAACGUGCCCAGUCGUGGGGGAUAACGCAGCGAAAGCUGUGCUAAUACCGCAUACGAUCUACGGAUGAAAGCGGGGGAUCGCAAGACCUCGCGCGAUUGGAGCGGCCGAUAUCAGAUUAGCUAGUUGGUGGGUAAAGGCCCACCAAGGCGACGAUCUGUAGCUGGUCUGAGAGGACGACCAGCCACACUGGAACUGAGACACGGUCCAGACUCCUACGGGAGGCAGCAGUGGGGAAUUUUUGGACAAUGGGCGCAAGCCUGAUCCAGCAAUGCCGCGUGCAGGAUGAAGGCCUUCGGUUGUAAACUGCUUUUGUUACGGAACGAAAAGGGUUUACUAUUAAUACUAGGAGCUCAUGACGGUACCGUAAGAAUAAG
rnacentral:rRNA from 1 species